GGUGGAACUUCUCAUGGAGCUCCACCUGGAAGUGUUUGAGGAGGCAGACAAGGUGGCUGCUGCAGUGGCUGAGGAGGCACCAGCACCAGAGCCAUCAAGCACAGAGGUGUCUCCAGUCACCAUGGCAGUCACACCCCUGGAGAGCUCCUCUGGGGAAGGAAGCUUUUCAGGGUCUGCAUGGCUGAAAAGCCAUCCCUGCAGGAAGAGGAAGAUGCUGCUGAGGGACAUGCAAGAGCAGCCCCUCAGCAAAGUGC